rnacentral:rRNA from 1 species
CCUACGGGAGGCAGCAGUAGGGAAUCUUCCACAAUGGACGAAAGUCUGAUGGAGCAACGCCGCGUGAGUGAAGAAGGGUUUCGGCUCGUAAAACUCUGUUGUUAAAGAAGAACAUAUCUGAGAGUAACUGUUCAGGUAUUGACGGUAUUUAACCAGAAAGCCACGGCUAA